UGUCAGCAGCCGCGGUAAUACGGAGGAUGCAAGCGUUAUCCGGAUUCAUUGGGUUUAAAGGGUGCGCAGGCGGAAUAAUAAGUCAGUGGUGAAAGCCUACAGCUUAACUGUAGAACUGCCAUUGAUACUGUCAUUCUUGAGUAUUGUUGAGGUAGGCGGAAUGUGUCAUGUAGCGGUGAAAUGCUUAGAUAUGACACAGAACACCGAUCGCGAAGGCAGCUUACCAAGCAAUAACUGACGCUCAUGCACGAAAGCGUGGGGAUCAAACAGGAUUAGAUACCCUGGUAGUCCACGCCGUAAACGAUGAUCACUCGAUGUUGGCGAUACACAGUCAGCGUCUUAGGGAAACUAUUAAGUGAUCCACCUGGGGAGUACGGUCGCAAGAUUGAAACUCAAAGGAAUUGACGG
rnacentral:rRNA from 1 species